UGGCGGACGGGGUGAGUAACGCGUGGAGAACCUGCCGUAUACUGGGGGAUAACACUUAGAAAUAGGUGCUAAUACCGCAUAAGCGCACGGCUCCGCAUGGGGCAGUGUGAAAAACUCCGGUGGUAUACGAUGGAUCCGCGUCUGAUUAGCUAGUUGGCGGGGUAACGGCCCACCAAGGCAGCGAUCAGUAGCCGGCCUGAGAGGGUGGACGGCCACCAUUGGGACUGAGACACGGCCCAAACUCCUACGGAAGGCAGCAG
rnacentral:rRNA from 1 species